rnacentral:lncRNA from 1 species
CUCCACUCUAUCUCUCUCAAUCUAGUAGAAACUAGAAAAUCUAAUUCUACUCACAUUGGAUGCUAAGCCUAAAACAAAUUUUAUUUAGAGGAGAGGUAUUCCUUCGAGGGCUCCUCUCAACUCUAUGAUGAACUUGUUUCUUCCAGGGGUCAGGGGGUCUGGUUUUAUAGUCCCCUCAAGUGAAUCUGGGCCGUCGGAUCAUACCGACAUUGAUUGAACGGUUAUCCUUGAUCCUUUAGGUCGGUGGAGCGUAAUCCCCGAAGAGAGUCCUGAUUGGACUCUGGGACAGGGCGGGCGCCCAAGCGGGGAGGGCGGGUGCCCUGCCCUCGGGCCCGUUCGCCUUCCCGUUCAUUCCCAUGGCUUCUGGAGUCUUCUAGAUGACAGAAAAUUGCGCGGCACAUUAAUAUCUCUAUGUAAACCCGACGUGUGGGCCUUUCUUCUGUAUUUCCUGAUAACCCCCUGCAGAAAUAGAAAAACACCAAAACUCGUGGAAUUCUGUCAGAUAAAACCCUAAGUCUGGGUGUUGGUUGCAUUUGGAUCCUUUUCUUUAUUUAUUUGAUGAUUAUAUUUGGUACUUAAGGACCGUCAACAACUCCUCCAAGCUUACCUCUUGCUCGUCCCUGAGCAAGGAUGAACUUAAGAGUUUCUGCAGUGGUUUCAUGCCUUAAAAGUAAGAUCUCAUCUCUGAGUUAGAGUAAACUGUUAAGACUUAAAACUUACUCAUUUUACCUUUCACCAUGGGGCUUGUAACCAUCACUUGUGUCUUGAGAAGUUAAAAGAUAGAACGGUCAAGUCAAGCGCCAUGUCUCUUAUUCUUGAUCAGCUAUAGCUCUGGAGUUUUUUGCAGAUUUUCAAAUAAAACUCAGAGAUUCCUUGUAUGACUCUCUCAAAUCUCUCUUUUGUGGUAUUUCUGGAUCCUUUCCAAGGCAGUAAUGGUAUAUGCCUUCUCUCAAAGUAUGUGUUGUUUUUGGUAUGAGGCAUAGUGAUAUUGCCUUCUCUCUCACCCUACUCUAAUAAGGUUUUGAUAUCUGGAGCUCAUAGGUGGGAGACAGCUAAUACAUACUUACAAGACAUUUAUUGCAUAGUCAAACCAUGGAUCUAGAAGAACAAGUCAAUAAGUCAAAUCAAGAUAUGCAUGUGUGGCGAAUGAAUGGUGUAUGGUGAUGAUGGUGAUAACAAUGGUGAAGGUUUAAUUCUACUUUUGCUCUUUUAAGGGGAUACAUACCUUUCUUGCACUUUGAAGCUUUUUGAGGAGAAUGAUAUUAUUUUUUUCUUUUUCUCUCAGGUGGGUAUCUUGUACCCCUAAUUCUACUAUCGGACACUUAUCCAUUUUUACCUCUCGUCUCACUUUUUCUUUUUUUCGAGGUUCCGGGCACUUGUCCCUUUUUAUUUCCUCGUAUCCUCUUUUUUUUAUUUUUUAGAGCACUCAUCUCCUUAAAUAAUAUAGCAAGUGGUAGUAACCAAGAUAACUCGAGCAUUUAUUGCACAGGGAAUAACAGGGAUAGGAAAAUAUUUUUGGCUAUUCUCCCCCGGAUUAGGAGUAGAAUACUGUUGGGUGGCUAUGGAGAUGGAAGUUAGUGGAUAUAUGUGGAUGCGUACUUCCGGAGUAGAAGUAGCAUGUGUGAGUGAACGUGCAAGUGAAUCUUGAUUUUAACCGCAUGACAAGCUCCUAAGGGUCUACACAGCUUGACCACACUCAAUGCUCAUAAGCAGUAAAAAGUAAAUGUGCGGCUCAAAGUCUAGCAAGCCUGUAUAUAUGGCUGUGGUAGGAAUUAAACUCUCAUCAUGUGUUAUUUUAAAGAUUUUCAAAGAUAAAAUUCUCUAGAAUUCUAGCAUCUCUAGGAACAGAUAAACAGCAGCUCAACCUUCCCAUAUCAUAUCCGUUAACGACUUAGACUUUAGAUCAAGUACUCUUUCCACAAGUUCACAUUUAGAGCAAAUCUUAAUUCAUAACAGUCAUGCCUAAACUUGAGAGAGAUUUCAAUUUUAAGAACUAGUCAUGGCAGAGCAACUAUUCAUUAUUUUCAUGUGAGAGCUUAUCAUAAGGGUUCAUAGCAAACUUUAUUUAUUUAUUUAUUUAGCAAACUAAGCAAAGAUAUAUAUAAAAACACAAAAUCUUUAUUUGGGUUUUUUAUGAUUUUGCAUCUUUUUAUUAUUUGAGUAAAGUAUAAACGCGAGUAGAAACACUUAGCUAGAUAAAUGGGGGUGCUCUCCCCCAAGCUGGAUUUUGACGUAAUUUCUUCUGAUGUAGCUAGCAAGUGACGGAGGUGUAUUUGAAUAUUGGCAGCACCCUGACAGCGAUUAGGAUGUCCUCCGUCUGCUAGUCUUCUUUGAUGCUUGAAUUCUGUGGAGCUCAAAUAGACAACAAAGCUUUGUGGAACUGGUUAAGUGUUAGCAUAAAUAUCUAGCCUUUAUCAUGUUGAGCCUCCUCAAUAAAUGCUAUUUAUUUAGCAGGAUCAUGCACUUAUUAUUUUUAUACUAUUAUUGUAAGAUGAAAACAUAUUUAUUUUAUGCCACCACAAUGAAUGUACCUAUGGGUUUUAUGCCAUGAGCAUAGUCACAUGGGGCUUACUAUUUUUAACAUUUUUAUUUUCUUUUCGAGAUGAUAUGAUUGAAAGGUCCAAAUGGCUAGAUGGGGGGGUGAAUAGCCUAUUUAAAAAUUCUGCAAACUUCAACUAGACAAGUUGAUUAGUAAAACAAAUGGCGAAGCAAAACUAGCACUAGCUCAACUAAGCUAUGCAAGCCACCUAUACAAACUAGUACAAGGCUAAACACUAAAGCACAACAACAAGAGAAGGCUAGUUACACUCCUAAACAAGAAGACUAAACUAAACAAGCUAAACAACUAGCAAGGUAUACAAGUAAGUAAAGGAGUGGAGAGUGAUUGUUAUACCAACGUUGUAGAGUAAAGAUAUACCCAACCAAUCACUCACAAUCACAAGAGAAUCCUCGGUAAGAGAUGACACAAGAUUUUUUACCGAGGUUCACUUGCUUCCCGGCAAGCUACUCCUCGUUGUGGCGAUACACCCACUUGAUGGAUCACGAGCUAAUUGGCAAUCCAAAGCCAAACCCUCAGCGGGUGCCGCACAACCACUCACA